UACGGAGGGUGCAAGCGUUAAUCGGAAUUACUGGGCGUAAAGGGCGCGUAGGUGGCUCGGUAGGUCGGAUGUGAAAUCCCUGGGCUUAACCUGGGAACUGCAUUCGAUACUGCCGGACUCGAGUACAGUAGAGGAGAGCGGAAUUCCCGGUGUAGCGGUGAAAUGCGUAGAUAUCGGGAGGAACAUCAGUGGCGAAGGCGGCUCUCUGGACUGAUACUGACACUGAGGCGCGAAAGCGUGGGUAGCAAACAGG
rnacentral:rRNA from 1 species